GCAGCCUGAUGCAGCCAUGCCGCGUGUGUGAAGAAGGCCUUCGGGUUGUAAAGCACUUUCAGUAAGGAGGAAAGGUUAAGUGUUAAUAGCACUUAGCUGUGACGUUACUUACAGAAGAAGCACCGGCUAACUCCGUGCCAGCAGCCGCGGUAAU
rnacentral:rRNA from 1 species